rnacentral:lncRNA from 1 species
AUGUCUUGCAGCAGCGCAUUCAUUUCCUCUCUCUGGAUUAAUGUGGGCAAAGGAUUAAGAGCCAGCAUGUUGAUUAGGCGCCCCGAGGUGCGGGGAACACGGGGAACAUUUGGCUGCGGAGAGGAGCCGGGUUUUGUCUUUGCUCUUGCGCAUCCCCCUGUUUACGUGGCACGGCUCGGGACCCUCGUCCUAGGAUGUCGAUCGCUCCGCGAGGGCAGGGACCUCCGUGAGCCCCCGGCCGCCCGGUGCCGGAGCAUCCCCGAGCUCCCCGGCGGCCCCGAGCAUCCCCGGCCGCCCCCCGCCGCGCUCCGGCCCCGCUCCGCCCGCAGCUGCGCCCCACGCGGCCGUGGGAAGCGGGGCCCCGCUGCUGCGCUCGGGGCCAGCCCGCUCCAGCCUCCCCUCCUGGAGCCCCCGCUGCUGCCUUCCCGGCCAGGACACUCAUUUGGCUUCUCUGCUGGACCCAGCGAGCUCGCGGUUUUUUACACUGCGUUUAAUUCAGGGAAGACUCCUUGCUUCAGAAGAGGAGGGACUGACAGCAGUUAGCUGGACCAGCCCACUCAGAUCUUCUGCCAUCCUCUGGGAACUUCCUCCUUGCUGCCAAAGGGAAGAGGUUGCCCCUUCUGCCUGAAGAAGGCAGUGAGCACACGUUUCCACACGGUGCCUCAGUUCCUUACAUGUCAGUAUAUGAACAGUCUUGGAGAGGACAUGCGGUUCACGGGGUCAGGGACAGCAAGCCCCUCGCCUAUCCCUGCAAGGACACUGAGCAUCAAACCUCAGCGCUCCCCAUCUGGACCUUCCACCAGUCAGCCUGUGCCCAACGCGAUGUGUUGAAACAUUUUCUCUGAAAUAUUUUUUUGCAACAUGAAAAAACUCCAAGAGGAAAAUCCUUCAAAUCACAUUUUAAAAGCAUUUAAUGUGGCACUGGAGCAUUCUGCAAAUUAAAGCCAGCCCUGGGACCAAACCCUCAGCUAUUAGGCUGCUGUCUUUUUCCUUCGCUUUCUGAUGUCAGGAAGUUCUGAGAUUUGUGGUGGAAGUGCACAGCUUUGUGAGCCAGCUAAUGUUUGCAGUCAUUUUUGGCAUAUUCAGAGACAGCAAGGCUACCUCUGAUAGCCUGCUUGCUAUCAGCACCCACUGUAUCUCAGAACCAUUUUAUUAUUAUGAUUAUUAUUGUAUUUUAGAACCAUUACCUAAAAUAUGGAAUCACUGCCCCUAGAAAAGUGGAUUAUCCUUUCCUGGGUAGCUAAUUUUAUUUCACUCAAGAAAAUUUGAUUCAUAUUUCUGAAACAUUGCCACUAAACAGCUUUCUAAGCAGAGUUGCAGUGCAAGACCAAAUUAGAUUCGUGUAGGGAGA